GGUCCUGUGGCCCAAUGGAUAAGGCGCCUGACUACGAAUCAGGAGAUUCUAGGUGCGAUUCCUGGCAGGAUCG
rnacentral:tRNA from 1 species